GAAACUUCUCUGUUCUUCGCUUUCUUCUUCCUUUUCUUUUUUCUUAUCUGUUUCCAAAACAAUGGAGCAUACUGAAUUUCUUGGAUAUUUUAUUUAUUAUGAGUUGCGAACUGUUGCGAUCUAUGAUUUGGUCAUAUUUUUUGGCUGCCUCUUGCUUAUUCCAUGCAUAUGACUGAGAUGAAGGUUUGAAGAUGGGGAAAUCUUGGAAUUUCUUGAGGCUUUGCUGUUUUAUUUGUCUUUUCUUUAGUUCAAUCACUUGUUGGUGGAAGGAUUUGGACAUCUAAACCUCUUCGGUCGAGGGUAUAUGUCUAAAUCAGUUGAGUAACGCUUCGGUUAGCUUAUUGUUUUAGAGUUCGUAAUGUAGAAUCACGGUCGUAAUCUCUAGUGUGGGUUGAGCCUUUUGGUUCAGUUGAGGGUAUAUGUCCAAAUCAGUUGAGUAAUGCUUAGGUUAGCUUAUUGUUUUGCUUGUUUUGAUCUCUCCUUUUCUCCUUUAUUGGGUUCUGGUUGCUUAUGGAGGUCGUAAUGUAGAAUCAUGGUCGUAAUCUCUAGCAUGGGUUGAGACUUUUAGAUCGGUCGAGGGUAUAUGUCCAAAUCAGUUGAGUAGUGCUUAGGUUUGCUUAUUGUUUUGCUUGUUUUGAUCUCUCUUUUUCUCCUUUAUCGGGUUCUGCUUGCUAAUGGAGGUCGUAAUGUAGAAUCAUGGUCGUAAUAUCUAGCGUGGGUUGAGCCUUUUAGCUCGGUCGAGGGUAUAUGUCCAAAUCAGUUGAGUAGUGCUUAGGUUAGCUUAUUGUUUUGCUUGUUUUGAUCUCUAUUUUUCUUGUUUAUCGGGUACUGCUUGCUUAUGGAGGUCGUAAUGCAGAAUCGCAGUCAUAAUCUCUAGCGUAGGUUGAGCCUUUUGGCUCGGUCAAGGGUAUAUGUCCAAAUCAGUUGAGUAAUGUUUAUGUUAGCUUAGGAUUUUGCUUGAUUUCUCCUUUUCUUCUUUAUUCGGUUCUGCUUGCUUAUGGAGGUCGUAAUGUAGAAUCACGGUCAUGAUCUCUAGCGUUGGUUGAGCUUUUUGGCUCAGUCGAGGGUAUAUGUCCAAAUCAGUUGAGUAGGCCUAGGUUUGCUUAUUGUUUUGCUUGUUUUGAUCUCUCUUUUUCUCCUUUAUCGGGUUCUGCUUGCUAAUGGAGGUCGUAAUGUAGAAUCAUGGUCGUAAUAUCUAGCGUGGGUUGAGCCUUUUAGCUCGGUCGAGGGUAUAUGUCCAAAUCAGUUGAGUAGUGCUUAGGUUAGCUUAUUGUUUUGCUUGUUUUGAUCUCUAUUUUUCUUGUUUAUCGGGUACUGCUUGCUUAUGGAGGUCGUAAUGCAGAAUCGCAGUCAUAAUCUCUAGCGUAGGUUGAGCCUUUUGGCUCGGUCAAGGGUAUAUGUCCAAAUCAGUUGAGUAAUGUUUAUGUUAGCUUAGGAUUUUGCUUGAUUUCUCCUUUUCUUCUUUAUUCGGUUCUGCUUGCUUAUGGAGGUCGUAAUGUAGAAUCACGGUCGUGAUCUCUAGCAUUGGUUGAGCUUUUUGGCUCAGUCGAGGGUAUAUGUCCAAAUCAGUUGAGUAGGCCUAGGUUUGCUUAUUGUUUUGCUUGUUUUGAUCUCUCUUUUUCUCCUUUAUCGGGUUCUGCUUGCUAAUGGAGGUCGUAAUGUAGAAUCAUGGUCGUAAUAUCUAGCGUGGGUUGAGCCUUUUAGCUCGGUCGAGGGUAUAUGUCCAAAUCAGUUGAGUAGUGCUUAGGUUAGCUUAUUGUUUUGCUUGUUUUGAUCUCUAUUUUUCUUGUUUAUCGGGUACUGCUUGCUUAUGGAGGUCGUAAUGCAGAAUCGCAGUCAUAAUCUCUAGCGUAGGUUGAGCCUUUUGGCUCGGUCAAGGGUAUAUGUCCAAAUCAGUUGAGUAAUGUUUAUGUUAGCUUAGGAUUUUGCUUGAUUUCUCCUUUUCUUCUUUAUUCGGUUCUGCUUGCUUAUGGAGGUCGUAAUGUAGAAUCACGGUCGUGAUCUCUAGCAUUGGUUGAGCUUUUUGGCUCAGUCGAGGGUAUAUGUCCAAAUCAGUUGAGUAGGCCUAGGUUUGCUUAUUGUUUUGCUUGUUUUGAUCUCUCUUUUUCUCCUUUAUCGGGUUCUGCUUGCUAAUGGAGGUCGUAAUGUAGAAUCAUGGUCGUAAUAUCUAGCGUGGGUUGAGCCUUUUAGCUCGGUCGAGGGUAUAUGUCCAAAUCAGUUGAGUAGUGCUUAGGUUAGCUUAUUGUUUUGCUUGUUUUGAUCUCUAUUUUUCUUGUUUAUCGGGUACUGCUUGCUUAUGGAGGUCGUAAUGCAGAAUCGCAGUCAUAAUCUCUAGCGUAGGUUGAGCCUUUUGGCUCGGUCAAGGGUAUAUGUCCAAAUCAGUUGAGUAAUGUUUAUGUUAGCUUAGGAUUUUGCUUGAUUUCUCCUUUUCUUCUUUAUUCGGUUCUGCUUGCUUAUGGAGGUCGUAAUGUAGAAUCACGGUCGUGAUCUCUAGCGUUGGUUGAGCUUUUUGGCUCAGUCGAGGGUAUAUGUCCAAAUCAGUUGAGUAGUGCUUAGGUUAGCUUAUUGUUUUGCUUGUUUUGAUCUCUAUUUUUCUUGUUUAUCGGGUACUGCUUGCUUAUGGAGGUCGUAAUGCAGAAUCGCAGUCAUAAUCUCUAGCGUAGGUUGAGCCUUUUGGCUCGGUCAAGGGUAUAUGUCCAAAUCAGUUGAGUAAUGUUUAUGUUAGCUUAGGAUUUUGCUUGAUUUCUCCUUUUCUUCUUUAUUCGGUUCUGCUUGCUUAUGGAGGUCGUAAUGUAGAAUCACGGUCAUGAUCUCUAGCGUUGGUUGAGCUUUUUGGCUCAGUCGAGGGUAUAUGUCCAAAUCAGUUGAGUAGGCCUAGGUUUGCUUAUUGUUUUGCUUGUUUUGAUCUCUCUUUUUCUCCUUUAUCGGGUUCUGCUUGCUAAUGGAGGUCGUAAUGUAGAAUCACGGUCGUGAUCUCUAGCAUUGGUUGAGCUUUUUGGCUCAGUCGAGGGUAUAUGUCCAAAUCAGUUGAGUAGGCCUAGGUUUGCUUAUUGUUUUGCUUGUUUUGAUCUCUCUUUUUCUCCUUUAUCGGGUUCUGCUUGCUAAUGGAGGUCGUAAUGUAGAAUCAUGGUCGUAUUAUCUAGCGUGGGUUGAGCCUUUUAGCUCGGUCGAGGGUAUAUGUCCAAAUCAGUUGAGUAGUGCUUAGGUUAGCUUAUUGUUUUGCUUGUUUUUCUUUUUCUCCU